rfam:Frankia sp. EAN1pec, complete genome.
GGGUUUUGUGGCCACUCGAAGCCGCCCGACGGGUCGGAGGCUUCAAGCCACCCCGAGCAGCCUUAGCUGACGACUGUGGUGGUGAGCGUCGGGAAAAGGCGCGCCGUGAGCGCGUCAGGC